rnacentral:rRNA from 1 species
AUUCCGUUAACGAACGAGACCUUAACCUGCUAACUAGCUGCUUGGAUUUUGUCCUCGUUUGCUUCUUAGAGGGACUCCUGUGCUUCAAGCGUGGGGGAA